AAGGGAUUGAAAUUUUCUCUGUGUUUUAUUUAUUCCCCAACAAAUUCACUUAGAUAUAGAAUAAAUCUGGUUCUUCUCAAACUCAUGUACCCUAGGUUUCCUUUAUUAAAUCAAUUUUUGUUUAAAUUAAAAACAAUCUUAUUUUACAUAUCAAUCUCAGUUCCCACUCCAUCCCAUCCUCCCAUGCUCCCCCACACAAACUCCCCAUCACACCCACCAAACACUCCCAGAGUGUGUGAUGCCUCCAACAAGGCAUCACAAUAUGUGACAUCAAAGUCUGUCACAUAUUUUGGGGCAGGACCAAGACCUUCUCCAAUGUAUCUAGGCUGAGAGAAUAUCCUUCCAUAGAAAAUGGGUACCCAAAGACCGUUUUGUGUACUUGGAUAAAUACUGGUUCCUCUGCCAAAGGCCCUAUAGAGAGCAUAGGCCUUCCAUUGACACCCCCAAUCAAGAAGCCUGGUUCAGUCUUAUGCUAGUUACCCAGCUGUCAUGGGUGUUCAUGUAUUACCACUUGAUCAGGUCAGCUGUUUUUGAAUGUUUCUCUGCCAUGAUCUUGACGCCUUUACUCAUUACUACGCCCUCUCUACAACUGAAUUCUAGGAAUUCAGCUCAGUACUUACCACACAGAAGGCAUCCAAUAUCUUCUAGUUUUUUUUAAGUAUUGGCUUUUACUAAGUUUUUUAAAGGUGGGCAUAUUUCAUAUAUUUUGUAAACAACAACAUACUAUCCAUUCUCUGACUUUUUACUUGCAGGAUUGCAUCCUGUAUUCCAGACAUUAUGAUGGCUCCAUAUAAUUUUUCUGUUUUUACCAGAGAGUAAUAUUGGAAUGUAAAUUUUAAUUAUGUUCCUUGUAAAUUUCUAUAAAUUUAGCACUUGAAAGGGUGAGGCUGAAACAUGUUUGUGAAAUUACAAGUCACCCUAGCCUACCAAUUGAAUUCUAAAUCUACCAGUACCCAAAGUGAGAUUUAUGGCUUAAAAUAUACAGGGUAAAAUACAGUAGAGAAUCAAAAAUUCCUCAAAAAAAGACCUUAAUUACCUGUACGGUUGACCGCACCGCAUGUGGUCACAUGUAUAUAGAAAGGUGUAAACAAGGUAAGAUAGAGCUAGUGCUCUCUCUGUCUCUCUCUCGGGGUUGAACCAGCAUUGGAAAGCUGCUGGGACUCUACCACUAGAAGUGACAACCUGGUUAUGGAUUUUUGUGUGAGUAUAACUCCCAAAUAAAUUACCAGUUAAUAAGCAGUCUCUGAAUCCAUUUGGAUUCAACAAUAGCCUUUAGAAUAUAUCUGUAAGCAACACUGCCUGGUUGCCUUGGUAUUAUUUAGGUCUUCCAUGAUGAUAAAUCCAGUCAACUGUCAGAUAGUACUUCUGUGUGGACAUACUAAUUUUUUUGAUUUUUUAAAUUUAAAUUAUAAACAAGCUUGAUAAAUGUCAAUCCCAGUUCCCUCUCUGUCCCAUCCUCUCAUGAUCCCCACCCCCUAUCCCAUGCCAUUUCUCCUCCCCAGUGAGGUUGGGAACUUCCAUGGGGGAACUUCAAAGUCUGUUAUAUCAUUUGGAGCAGGUUCUAGGCUCUCCCUGGUGUGUCUAGUUGAAAGAGUAUCCCUCUAUGUGGAAUGGGCUCUCAAAGUCCAUUCCUAUAACAUGAAUAAAUACUGAUCCACUCCCAGAGACCCCAUAGAUUGUCCAGGAUUCGUAACUGACAGAUGUGUUCAAGUCUGGAUAAGUUCUUUGCUAGUUUCCCAGCUAUCAGUCUGGGGUCCAUGAGCUCCCCUUUGUUCAGCUCAUCUGUUUCUCUGGGUUUCUGCAGUGCGGUCAUGACCCCUAUAUUAUCCCUCCUCGCUCUCUGCAAGUGGAUUCCAGGAAUAUAGCUCAGUGUUUAGCUGUGGAUGUUUCCUUCUGCUUGAAUCAGCUACUGGAGAAAGGCUCUAGGAUGACCUGUAAGAUAGACAUCAAUUCUCAUUACAAGGAAGCACAUUUAAGACAGCAUCUCCACUAUUGCUUAAAUUGUUAGUUGGGGUAGGUGGAUGUACUUAUUAUAUAUUGUAUAAAUGCACAUAUCUAUAACUAUGUAUAUGAAUAUCCAAAUAUAUUUACAACUCAUUAGACAAAAGAUGAAUUCUAAAUUUUUUAUUAUAGGAACAAAUCAAGCACCAAAUUAAUUUUUCCAUAUUUUAAAUUUUAGUAACCUUCCACAGCACUUGUGUGAAAUUUGGAUACAUUAACUCAAUCAUGUAUGAGGAAAAUAUGUUCAAAGCAGUAAAUAUAUCACACUUAUGAGCCCAAGGAAAGAUGUUCAAUAUGUACUUUAAGUUAUACCAUAUGUAGUUAUCAUUUUGAGUAUUAAUUUAUAAAGUUAAUGUUCACUUCACAUGCUUAUUUUCACUACUUCAUUCUGUUAUACUCCCCAUAUGAUUGUAGCUAUCUAAACACACACAAGGUGACACCAAGACAGAGAAACUUCAUUUGAUUGUGUUCUUGGGGUCACCAAAACAACUCGUUUUUGAAAAAUUAUGCUCACCUUUGAACAAAAUAAAAGGAAAAUUUCUUCAACAACAUUUGAUGGGUUUUGACCCCAAUUAUAGGAAAAGAAAAGGUUGAUUAUGUAGAAAUUCUUUGCCAUUGAUUUGUUAUUAACAGAAAAACAGUGUGCACAAGCUGCAAAACUCAAUGAAAGUUUGCAUAUGACAUUUAGAAACUAACUAUUGGGCCCAACACUGUUUCUCAGGAACAGAUUGCUGACCACGUGAUCUGUGAAAACAAGGCCUCUCAAACAUCCCAGAACACAGACAAAGCAACUAAGUAAUUAUUCCCUGAACAACAUGUAGGCAGAAAAUAGUGUUCAGUUUGAUCCUGUCACACUCCACUCCUAAAUGAACACACACAGGCAUAUAUUAAGUAUAAACUAUUUGUACUUAGGCAAAAUCAUCUUAUUUGCUCACUCUCUAUAAAUCCUAACCCAUUUCUUUUCAUCAGUGAAUCUCCAGGUGGUUUAGCAUAACAGAGGAAAACAGAGCAACCUAAAUUCCCUGAAGUUACAUGGCGACUCUCAGGAGACUCACUCUCCAUAUACCUCUCCCAGAAUUCAACUCUGGCUUCAUUCCCUAUAUGUCCUCAAUGGCUACAUAUUGUCUGACUAUGGGCCAAAAUAGCUUCAUUCAUAAACCAAUAAGAGAAACAUAUAUCCACAGCAUAUAGAAAAGCAUCUGCUUCAGGUUCUAUUUCCUACUGGAGAAAAUAAGGAUUUUUUUUUUAAAAAAAAUUCACAUUGGCCAAUUAUGUAUUUCAAAGUUGAUGAGCAAAAAUUAUGGAUAUCAUUAUGUAGUACAUUAACAUUUGCCAAAUUUUAAGAAAAUAUUCCAUGGUCUGCCCUUGCUUUGUUAGGUUAAAGAAUCAAAUGCAAGUUACAUUUAUCAUAAUUAAGAAAAUCCAUAAUGGUAAUUAUCAGUCCUCAAAAGCAACAAAGAUUCCAGAAGGAUUCUAUAUAAAACAAUAAAUUAGGAGAGACAUCUCUCUUCCAUGAAAGUCACCCAACUUUUGGCGGCACCCUAAGCCCAUCCAUCUUCAGCCAGUAUGGCCAGAACAUGUAGCAGAAUUUUGGAGGAAGAAUAUAAGAAGGAUCAUCCUUUCCCUUGGCGUCUUCAGCAGUCCGUCUUCUUUGGAACCUGUUUGUCUAGUUUGGACACCAUGCUGUCAAGCAGUCAAGGGAAGAGAGGAUUCUCCUCCAAAUAGCAAGUUCUGCCCUGUGAAAGGCAAACUCCAUAACCAGAUUCUUUAAUGACCAUCUUAAUCUCUAAUGUGAUCUGUUGACUUCACAAGAUGAUUAUAGCUAUACAUAACCAAUUCCUAUCAAAUCAUGUUAACGUGUCUAUAAGGAUUUUAUCAAGAAAAAGUAUAGAAAAGAGAAACAAAUAUAGCUACCACUGGAAGCUUUUGUAAGUAAUAAGGAAAAAAUCUGUUAAAAAUAAAACAACAAGUACAAGAACCAAAGAAGAAAAAAUUGUAAAACAACUACCAAUGAGGAUUUCACUAAAAGCUACAGGUACAGGGGACAGGAUGGAGCUUACUCAGCAUGCUCAGCUACCUCGAUCUAUCUGUAAAUCUCCUCUUUUGUGGCAAAAGGACUGGUUUGCCACUCUAUGUAUAUAGUUACACUAUAAUCAAAGAAGGCCAUAAUAAAUAUUUUUGAAAGACCAACAUAGGUUACAUGAAUAUGUCACAGAAGGGAAUAUUUACAUUUAUAAAAGAUGAAAUAGUAUGCCUGCUUUCUAGAGGUCUACAAAGGCUAUGGACGAUAAGAGGAUCUAUUUACAAGUCAUUCCUAAAAUGCUACUCAGGCCAUUAUUUGGGUCAGGAUAAUUAUCAAUGAAGAAAUUACGGGAUAUAAUCCAGGAGAUUCCACCCCGUCAUUCUGAUUGUUUUCCAAGAAAAAAUUCUCUUUGGCUUAACUAAAGUCAUCUAAUUACAAACUAUUUACAGUUUGAUACGUGGGUGCAAACUGAUUCUUCUGUGCCUUUCCAAAACUUGGAAUAGGCAGCUUUUACUUGCUCAGUCAGUGAAGAAACAGAGACUUUAUAACUACUAAGACAAAAUUACGAGAUUAGUAGAAACAUCACUCCUUUGAACGCAGAAAUGAAUUUUCUAAAUAAAGAAACAAAAAAAAAUAUCUUACUACAGUAUUCUGAGGAAAAGGCAAUGGGACAUAUAUAGCAGCGUUUCAGUACUGCAGUCAUGAAUCCCUUCUGUUUCAUGACAUAACAGAGAAACACACACAAGCCCAGAGUUACCCCGAGAUACCAAAACAUACUGGGUAGACACACAAUUUAUAUAGUUUCAAUAAACCAUAGAAAGUCAUAAUAAACAUUUUGUUGAAAGAACAGUAUAGGAUAGAUGUAUAUGUCAAAGAUUGAAAUGUUUACAUUUAUAAAAGAGGAAACAGCAUAUCUGCUUUCUAGGGGACUGCAAAGACUAUGGAUGUUUAGAUACUAUAUUUACAAGGCUAUUUACAAAUAAUUCCCAAAAUGCUACUCAUGCCAUUACUAGGCUCAGGAUAAUUAUCAAUGAAGAAACUACAGGAUAUAAUCCAGGAGAUUCAGCCCCGUCAUUCUGAAUGUUUUCCAUGAAAACAUUCUAUUUGCAUAACUAAAGUCAUCUAAUUACAAACUAUUUACAGUUUGAUACGUGGGAGCAAACAGAUUCAGCUCUGCCUUUCCAAAUCUUGGAGUAGGCAGCUUUUAGUUGCUUGUUGAGUGGAGAGAGAGAGAGAGAGAGAGAGAGAGAGAGAGAGAGAGAGAGAGACUUUAUAGCUACCUGUAAAUAUUACGAAAGUAGUGUAAACUUCACUCAUGUCAAUGCAGAAAUAAAAUUUCUAAGUACAAAAACAAAAGAAAAUUAUCUUAUUACACUAUUCUGAGGAACAUGUAAAGGGACUUAAAUAGCAGCGUUUCAGUACUGCAGUCAUGAAACUCUCCUGUUUCAUGACAUAAGAAAGAAACACACAGAGACCCUGAAUUAACUCAUCCUCUACUAAUAAAUUCUAGGAAAAUAAUUGACAAAAGUAAAAAUAACAUACACAAAGAAACUAACAUGCACAUAUUCUCACCAUAUAACUAGUUUAUAGCAAAGCACCCUUGAAGAGCUGACCUGAAGACAUAAUGCAAUCUGAAGAUACAGUUAGUGCUUACACUCUAGCCUUCAUGCUAUUACAGCUUGGUUAUUUGAUCAUCAGUAGUGACAGUUAAAUAUUUGCUAAUGUCAAAUUGUAAUUGUAAAAUUGUUUUUUACAUAAUCAAUCAUUAAAAUUUCUUAAUCCAAAAUGAAGAUAAUUUGUUCUACUAUUUUUUUCCAACACAUGAAGCACACAAUAUUUGAAAUUUUUUUUCCUGUUUGAACAGUACUUCUUUCUCAGUGUACCAUUCUUAACCAACUUUGUGAACUAUUCCAUUGUGAAAGGAUAAAAUGAGCUCUACUUGGCACUGCCUUCAGCUGCCAUGCCUUUAAAUGCAGAGAAAGUUCUGCUUUAGUAUAUAACACCAUAAAAGGAGACACAUUUGAAGUUUAACUUCCAUCCCAACCCACUCCACCCCAGUUUGAGACAAGAUUUCAUGUCUAUUAUCCAGACUGGCCUCAACUUUACUAUGAUACCCAGCUUAACUCUGAACUCCUGAUCUCCUGCCUCUACUUCCCGAGUGCUGGCUUGGGGGUGUGCACAACCAUGUCCAACUUUUCCUCAUUUAGUCCAAGUUAUAAAGCAGCUUUUCUUAGAUUACUUGCCUUAGAGUUUUCUGUCAAAAACAGUCAUUCUGUCUUUUGGCAAGUGGAUCUGUCACAAUUGUAGCCACCCAGAAAUGUAGAAGACACCCUUGAAAGAAAUCAUUGCAGUUAACAAAAUGAAGUGAAGAUGACAUGCAAGUAGAAGUUGGCACACAACUUUAAUUCUAGCUUCAGGAGGUAGAAGCAGGUGGAUCUCUGACUUCCUGGUCAGCCCAUUCUACAUAGAGAGUUCCAGCCUCUGGUGUUAUCUAUACAGUUGUUUACCUAGUCUGUUAAAGCAUGACUCCAAGUGUUUUUGCAUUGUGUCAGCUUAGAGGUUGCUCUAAAAUCAUUUCUAGAAUGAUUUCCAUAUCCUUGUUAGGAUUAAGGCACUGAAACACAUCACAACUAGAUUGCAUAGAGUUAGCAACAACCACCCCGGACAAUACCUGAAGGUUUAAUAUUCCUUUUAAAAUGAGAGUCCUUAAUGUACCCAUUAGUUGGUCAGAUGCUAAAGCCCAUGGGUGACCUAAUGAGAAGGCUCCUUCUAUUUAGGGAACAACACUCAGCUAAACCAGAAGAGCUCUGCUAGUACAACUGUCAUGAUGUCUUCCUUUAGUCAACCCAGCUGUCCCAGGUGAUGCCACUCUAGACUGAUUGAGACUGCUCCUCUGAGUGUACCAUUCUGCUAGCUUUCCAUCAGAGAAUUAACUGAAACUUUUGGCCAACAGCUGAUGCUUGAACUGUCUGUCAUUCACCAGUAAUUAUGCUCAAAAAUCGGAAGCUGGAAUAGGACUAAAUCAUGCUGAAUACAUGAAAUGCUAAAUGAAAUUUCAACGAGAUACCUGUUGCAAAAUCCUUCACAACAUGGACAUUCAAGAUGAAACCACUAAGAUUUCCACUCAACUUCCAGCUCUAUUUUCUUUUUCAAUCACCUUUGCUUAGUUUUUGUAUUUGUAUAAACACCCAAUUCUCUUAACCAAGAAGGAUAAUCUGCAUUUGGUGGGCAGCAUCGCUGGCUUCAUCUUCUAGUCAGAUGCCUUCUGAGAUGUGGAGCUGUGUGAGGAAGAGCUGCAGGGCGAGGAACAUUCUGGAGAACACAGAUAAUGCAACAGGGGGAGGCGACUCUUCCCACACAAGUCCACAGACUUAAUUCAUCUGACAAAGCAGUCCAAACACACUCUGGUAUACCUAGAGCCUGGGGAAUUGGCAAGCUGAAUCCAAGUAUCUUAGCAGAUUGCCAGGAAGAUAAGAGUGAGUGUCAGAAAUAUUUCUGGAUCCUCCUGGUCUUUGCCAGUAAUCCCAGUCCAGUUGGAGGGCUAUAUGUUAAAUGACUAAGCAAAGAAGCAAACAAUGGAUUUCCUUGAAAACUCAGCUCUUCAAGAUGAAUAGUGUUGGGGAUCUCUGGAGGCCGGUCCGUCAGCAAGUUAUCGAGGAGAGUGGGGAAACCGAUGCAACUGUGAAAGCUGAGAAAACACAUUGGGAUUUUGUUGUCACAUAACACCAAUAACUGAGAGAAGGUAGAAUUGCUAAUUCUGGGCGCGGGUGGGGGGGACUACUAUCCUGAUGUUUGCUGCCCAUGUUAAGGGUCUGCCGGUUUCCCCCUCCAAAACCUAGGCUGGGCCCUCCUGGAAACAUGGCCAGUGAGUUUGAGUACCUGGAGUGUGCAGAGAGCUGCUACCGUGUCGGUCCCUCCAGCAGCAAGCCUGUGUCCUGGAGCCUCUUGUUCCUGUCCAUCAGCAUGCCCAGUGGCACUCUGCCACAGCAGCUGGGGUCGCAGCGCCAUGGGCGGGUCCCUGCUCAUGUCCUGUAGCUGGAGGUCAGGGAAGUGGCUGCUCAGCCCCUGCCUGGGAAGCAUUGUCAGAUGGUUGUAGGGCAGCAGCAGCCACAGCGUCGCCAACCGGGAGUCCCGCAUCUCUGCUGGGCUCCCCUCUAGCUCGGGAUCUGGAGCCUAGGCCCACAGGCUGAGGAGGGAGCAGCUGAGUCCAUGUCUCCCAUAGCGGAGGCUUCACUCAUCUGUCUGGAUUCCCAGGCAGCUGCCAGCUGACACCGUGGCACCUCCCGGAACCGGAAGUGAGCUCCGUGUAGGAAGUGCCUGGGCUUGGAGGAUUUGGGGCCGCUCACACAACCUUUCUCUAAGAUUUAAGGGAAAUGUGGACCUUUAUCAUUUUAUGGACUGAAAAAUGUGUUGAAACACUCUGUUAGACACCGAAUGUAGCUGCGAUCUUGACACAUGAUUACUUCAUGUGUGAGAUGGUGUACGUGGGAGAGCCCUUGUGCCUGUCCUUUUCCUCUGCCUAUCUCAGGAUCACAGACAGCCUUCCCACAGAUCAGGGCAGGAUCCAGCAACGUUACCAUGAAUCUUGACAGGGAACUGAGAAAAUAACGUCGCUUAUGGGACACAGCAAAAGUGGAGGGUUUCAAAGCAUUUUGGGAAGUGUAAUUCGACUUAUAAUGAAUUGCUUCCUUUUUACCUAAAAUCAAAAAAAGCAUAGCUGUGUAGAAUGGUCAUUCAGCAAUAGACAUGCGUUGCAUGUAUGAACUGCUGACUGUUAUUUCUCGAAUAAGCAUGACAAUGGGACCAAAUUAGGUGGUCUACCUAUGUCAGGACGUGACAAGAAUAAAUUAUCUGAUAUCUGUGUUUGCUCUCCAUUCAGCUGAAAAGAUUAGGCGGUCAAUUCCAUGCUACUGAAAACGGCGACUCAGAUCGUCCCCAAGUAGCAGUAAAUUGUACUGCUACUGGAUUGAGAUUCCUGGUAUAUAUCCUUUCCAGCAUAAACUCUAAACAGCUCUUCUGCUUCUCAUAGGGUACAAUUGCCAGACCAGCAGGGUUUCAUGAAAGUUCAAAGUAAGGAACAAAGAGUUCAUUGGUUUCCUUAAAAUGAGGCUGAGCAGUCUGUUGCUAACUUGAUAAGAAAACCGAUUAUUUGGCAAAUGCAACAUAACAGAAAAUUGAUACAUAUUAAUAAAUGAAGUCUAAGUGUGAAAAAUAGUCAUACUCUAAAUAAACAUUAAAUAUUAAGUUACUACUUACUCUUAAAAGUAUGUGUGGUGUUGUAAAUACUAAAUGGGAAGGUGGCUUGCAUGUGAAAUUUCCCCCUUGGUGUCAAACCUUUAGACAUUUGGUCUCCAAGUAGUGGUGGUUGUGGAUCCUAUAGGAUUUGGACCCUUGAUUGAGGAAGUGAGUCAGUGGGGAAUGACUUCAGUUUUUAUAACUCAGCCCAACUUUGCGUUCCCUGACAGAUGCCCGAACUGCACAUCCAAUGUGACCAUCCUGCCCCCUGUACUUGAUGCCCUGUCUUCUCUUACUACUACUAUUUUGAUUUUAUUGUGACAAUGACAUGAACCCCAAAAAGUAUAGGCAGUCCCUACAUACAUAAUUAUAUGCUCAUACUUUUGUUAGAUGCCUCUGGGUUCACUGGUAGGAUUGGAAGCCUUCCUACAAUACACUUUGAAAACCACAGCUGUUUCCAAAAUGUUUACCUGAACUAAGGGUGCAAAUUCUCAGUAUCUGCCCCAGUUACCAAACUAAAAUAAAAAUAAAUAAAGAAUGAUUCCAAGACCAAAACAAAACAAAACAAAACAAAAUAAAAGAAUGGUGGUGAGGCUUUUUUCAUAAGUAUAUGUGUGCUAGUCCAUACCACCAUGCCACUCCAGCAAGGUGUUUACCCAUAAGAAAAGAGGGGGAAUUAUAAGAACAUUUGCUAUAGCUGCAUAAAUGUAUCCCUUGCUAUCAUAUAACAAUGCACACCCCUCACACUGAUGUAUGUGUAUGCAUAUGUAACUCUAACCUCUACCUCAGAGCCCCCAUUCUGGCAUUGAAAUAGCGGAAUUGUCUUCUGAAUUUUCUACUCUAUCUUUUUAAAUAUAUAAAUAAUAUGAUAUGACAUAAUAGAAUAUAUUUGAAACAAACUUUAGUCUGACCAACCAUGUUUCAUGCUAUCAUAGGUUAGCAUUUUCGUCACCAGAAGUGAGACUUAGAUAUUUUCAAAUGCCAAUAGGUUUUCCUGUAUAAACCAGUACUAAAAUUUGUGAAUAUCCACUGACAAUAAUUUGUGGCAAUAUUUUUCUCCUACACCUCUAGGAUACAGGAUUUUAUUAUUCCCAUUCCUGUUUUAUCAAAACUUCUGUCGUAGUGUUCAGUGGUUAAAGCUACUUUGUGACCGAUUCUAUUGUAAAUGGAUAUAUUGAGCUCUAUUUCUCACUCCCUUCAAUUCCCAUGUUAUCUGCUUGUAGUUUUGCUUACAUGUGCAGAGAAAAUUUUCCUGUAGUAUACAUCACGAGCCAAGGAGCCAUAUUUGCCAGUUAAAAGCCACCCCACGCCAACUCAUAGCCCACUCUGAGACAAGGCUUCAUGUAUAAAGGGCAUGCUUGCUUCAUCUUUACCUUGAUGCCUAGGCUAGCAUGGAAUUCCUGAUCUUCUGCCUCUCCCACCCAGGUAAUGGUUUGGAGGUAUGCACCAACAUAUCCAACUUUUCUCAUUUUGUCCAAAUUGUAAAGGAACUUCUCUUAGCUUACAUAAUAUCCAGAUUUUUGUGUAAGAACAAUAAAUUCUUCGGUUGUUUGGCAAAUUGAUAUAUCUGGACUGCUGCCUCCCAUAAAGGUAAAAGCCUCUGUUACAAGAGAUCAAUUCAGUUAACCAGACGAAGAGAAGAUAACCCUGGAAGAAUGUGGCGGUGUAUACAUUUAAAGGAAAGCAAUAGGUGUUAGAGGCAGGUGGAUUUCUGUAUUCCCGGUCAGCUCAUUCAUUCCUCAUACAGAGUUCCCCGCUUGAAAUCUCAGGUGUUAUCUAGACACUUUCUUUUAGAUAAUAUGUUGAACCAUAUUUCCAAGAGUUUUGCUGUGUGCCAGGUUGUAGGUGGCUCUCCAAACAUUUCUAGAAUAAGCUUCUCUACCUUUCCUAGGGUUCCCUCACUGUACCACAUCACAGCUAGAUUGCAUUAAUUUAGUAAAUCACACCAAUCAUGAGCUGAAGUUUAAAUCUUCCCUUAACAUACCAGUUAAUUGUCCAUAGGAUAAGCCUAGAUAGGACACACGUAGAAGAAUCAAUCAGUUUCUGGCAGUGAUUUCAUCCACCCAGAACAAAACUGGUAGUACACCUGUCAUGUUGUCUUACUUUCCUCAAACCAGCUGACCCAUGGGGGACCACUCCUGUAAGUGUACCAUUCUCCUAUAUUUUCCAUAAAGACUUAACUGAAAUUUGUGACCAACCCGCUUAAUUUGGAACUGUCAUUCAGAAUACAUUAAACCAACUGAGUUCUAUUCCUGCUUGCGUCACAAAGUGACAUUGUGGCUUAAAUUAUACAAAGGAAAAUACAGGACAGAAACAAAAAUGCAACACAGUAUACCUCCAAAACAAAAACUUUUAAUAUAUAUCUGGAAACAACAUUGCCUAAUUGACUUGGACUCAUUCAGGUCUGUCAUGCUGAAAAGCCAGUCAAUUGUCAGAUAGGCCUUUUGUGUGGAUGGACAUAUACAUUGUAUAAAUGAGCAUAUCUAGAACUGUGUCAGGGAAUAUCCAAAUAGAUUUACAUGGGAAUAAACAUGGAUGCUGACUUCUCAUCAUUUACUAUAUGAACACAUCUAGCAGGAAGUUAAUUAAUCCACUUUUUUUUUUCAUUUAUGUUCCACACAAUAUGUAUGAAAUUUGGCUUCAUUAAGCGAAUCAUGUAUGACACAAAUAUGUUGAAAGCAGUCACAAGAUGAUCCUUGAAGGGCCCAACUAAACAUCUUUACUAAGAACAUAGUUAUCACAUAUCUAGGUCCGGUUUGGUUUGAUUCUUAAUUUAUUUAAAGAAUGUCCCAGUUGAGGUCAAUUCUUACUAGGACUGAAUUCAGUGGCAUUCUUCAUAGGAUUGUACUCAUCCAAACACACAUACAGAGACACCCACCCACAUCCAAACACAGAGACAAACUUCCUUAUCUAAAUAUGUCCUGGGGAAUCUAAACACUUACUUCAUUUUGAAAAUUUGUGCUCACAUAAUUUAUCACAUUUUUAAAAUAAAUUUCUGAAGAUUUUAUUGAAUCUAAUACAGAAUUCACAACUCUUAAGGCAACAAUCAUGAGGGUAAGGGUGUGUAUACAUACAUACAUAUAUAUAUAUAUAUAUAUAUAUAUAUAUAUAUAUAUAUAGUAGAUCAUAUAUUUUCAAGUCCUCUGUGUAAGGUGGCACAAGAUAUUGAACAAUGUAAACACUGUUCUUAGAAACUUUCAAAUACAAGGUCAUAAAAUUUAUCAAAAUAGGACUAUAUCUUUUCCAGAGAUCAUACUCCAAUACUGAUUUAUCUUGCACGGUUACAUUUUCGUUAUGUAUAUACUUAUCCAGCAAAGUGUAGCACACAACAGUUGAGGUACUUAUAUUAAAGAAAUUAGAGCCUCCCUAAGCAUUGGACCAAAAUAGAGUAUCGUUUCUUCAGUCACAUUUGUUGUUAUUUGGCCCCAAAGUUAUGAAAACAUAAGGCUGCUCAUGUAGAAAUUCUUUCCCAUUGCUUUGUUACUAACAAACUAAAAAUGAGCAAAAGAUGGCAAAAACCUCAACGAAAGCUGGCAUAUGACAUUUAGAAAGUGAGUAUUGGGCCCAGCACUGUUCCUCGGGAACACCUUGCUGAUCCCAUGAUCUGUGAAAACAGGGCCUCUCAACCAUCCUUUUACACAGAACAAAGCAACUGGGUAAUUGCUCCAUGAACAGCAAUGUGUAGGCAGAAGUUAGUUUUCAGCUUGAUCCUGUCACACUCCACUCCUAAAUGAACACACAGAGGCAUAUAUUAAGUAUAAACUAUUUGUCCUCAGGCUCAGGCUUCAUAUCGGCUCUCUCUCUCUAAAUCCUAACCCAUUUCUUUUCCUCAGUGAAUCUCCAAGUGUUUUAGCAUACCAGAGGAAACCUGAGCAACCUAACUCCCCGGAAGUUACAUAGUGACUCUCUGGAGACUCACUCUCCCUAUACCUCUCCCCGAAUUCAACUCUGGCUGCAUUCCCUAUAUGUCCUCACUGGCUACAUAUUGCCUGACCAUGUGCCAAAAUAGCUUCAUUCAUAAACCAAGAAGAGAAACAUAUAUGCGCAGCAUACAGAAAGUUAGUUGCAUCAGGUUCUGUUCUCUACUGGAGGAAAGAAGGAUUUCUUUUUAAACAUUUAACAUUGUCCAAUUAUGAAUUUCAAAGUUGAUAAGCAAAAAUGAGGGAUACCAAUAUGGAGUCCGUUAACAUUUGACAAAUUUGAAGAAAAUGGUCCCUGAUCUAUCCUUGCUUGGUGAGGUUAAACCUUCAAAUGCAACUUAUCUUUUAUUAUAAUUAAGAAAACCCAUAAUGGUAAUUAUCAGUCUUCAAUAGCAACAAAGACUGCAGAAGGAUUCUAUAGAAAACAAUACAUUAGCAGAGACAUCUCUCUUCCAUGAGAGAGUCACCCAACGUUUUUUCGGCACUCUUGCCGCAUCCCUCUUAGCCUGUAUGCCCAGAAUGUGUGGCAGAAAUUUGGAUGAAGAAAACAUAUGAAGGAUCAUCCUUUCCCUUGGCUUCUUCAGCAGUCCCUCUUCUUUGGAACCUGUUUGUCUAGUUUGGACAGCAUGCUGUCAAGCAGUCAAGGGAAGAGAGGAUUCUCCUCCAAAUAGCAAGUUCUGCCCUGUGAAAGGCAAACUCCAUAACCAGAUUCUUUAAUGACCAUCUUAAUCUCUAAUGUGAUCUGUUGACUUCACAAGAUGAUUAUAGCUAUACAUAACCAAUUCCUAUCAAAUCAUGUUAACGUGUCUAUAAGGAUUUUAUUAAGGAAAAGUAUGAAAAAGAGAAGAAAAAUAUAGCUAUCACUGGAAGCUUUUGUAAGUAAUAAGGAAAAAAAUCUGUUAAAAAUAAAACAACAAGUACAAGAACCAAAGAAGAAAAAACUGUAAAACAGCUACCAAUGAGGAUUUCACUAAAAGCUACAGGUACAGGGGACAGGAUGGAGCUUACUCAGCAUGCUCAGCUACCUCGAUCUAUCUGUAAAUCUCCUCUUUUGUGGCAAAAGGACUGGUUUGCCACUCUAUGUAUAUAGUUACACUAUAAUCAAAGAAGGCCAUAAUAAAUAUUUUUGAAAGACCAACAUAGGUUACAUGAAUAUGUCACAGAAGGGAAUAUUUACAUUUAUAAAAGAUGAAAUAGUAUGCCUGCUUUCUAGAGGUCUACAAAGGCUAUGGACGAUAAGAGGAUCUAUUUACAAGUCAUUCCUAAAAUGCUACUCAGGCCAUUAUUUGGGUCAGGAUAAUUAUCAAUGAAGAAAUUACGGGAUAUAAUCCAGGAGAUUCCACCCCGUCAUUCUGAUUGUUUUCCAAGAAAAAAUUCUCUUUGGCUUAACUAAAGUCAUCUAAUUACAAACUAUUUACAGUUUGAUACGUGGGUGCGAACCGAUUCUUCUGUGCCUUUCCAAAACUUGGAAUAGGCAGCUUUUACUUGCUCAGUCAGUGAAGAAACAGAGACUUUAUAACUACUAAGACAAAAUUACGAGAUUAGUAGAAACAUCACUCCUUUGAACGCAGAAAUGAAUUUUCUAAAUACAGAAACAAAAAAAAAUCUUACUACAGUAUUCUGAGGAAAAGGCAAUGGGACAUAUAUAGCAGCGUUUCAGUACUGCAGUCAUGAAACUCUCCUGUUUCAUGACAUAACAGAGAAACACACACAGACCCAGAGUUACCCCGAGAUACCAACACAUACUGGGUAGACACACAAUUUAUAUAGUUUCAAUAAACCAUAGAAAGUCAUAAUAAACAUUUUGUUGAAAGAACAGUAUAGGAUAGAUGUAUAUGUCAAAGAUUGAAAUGUUUACAUUUAUAAAAGAGGAAACAGCAUAUCUGCUUUCUAGGGGAAUGCAAAGACUAUGGAUGUUUAGAUACUAUAUUUACAAGGCUAUUUACAAAUAAUUCCCAAAAUGCUACUCAUGCCAUUACUAGGCUCAGGAUAAUUAUCAAUGAAGAAACUACAGGAUAUAAUCCAGGAGAUUCAGCCCCGUCAUUCUGAAUGUUUUCCAUGAAAACAUUCUAUUUGCAUAACUAAAGUCAUCUAAUUACAAACUAUUUACACUUUGAUACGUGGGAGCAAACAGAUUCAGCUCUGCCUUUCCAAAUCUUGGAGUAGGCAGCUUUUAGUUGCUUGUUGAGUGGAGAGAGAGAGAGAGAGAGAGAGAGAGAGAGAGAGAGAGACUUUAUAGCUACCUGUAAAUAUUACGAAAGUAGUGUAAACUUCACUCAUGUCAAUGCAGAAAUAAAAUUUCUAAGUACAAAAACAAAAGAAAAUUAUCUUAUUACACUAUUCUGAGGAACAUGUAAAGGAACUUAGAUAGCAGCGUUUCAGUACUGCAGUCACGAAACUCUCCUGUUUCAUGACAUAACAGAGAAACACAGACAGACCCAGAAAUACCCCGAGAAAGCCACACAGACUGGGUAGACACACUAUUCACAUAGUUUCACUAUAACUGUAGAAAGCCAUAAUAAACAUUUUGUUGAAAGAACAAAAUAGGAUACAUGUAUAUUUCACAGGCAGGAAUCUUGAUAUACAUAAAAGAUGAAACAGUAUACCUGCUUUCCGGGGAGUUCAAAGACUAUGGAUGGUUAGAUGCUCCAUUUACAAGGCUAUUUGCAAGUAAAAACUAAAAUGCUACUCAUGUCAUUAAUUGGGUCACGAUAAUUAUCAAUGAAGAAAUUACAGGAUAAAAACCAGGAGAUUCAGCCCCAUCAUUCUGAAUGUUUUCCAGGAAAACAUUCUCUUUUGCUAAACUAAAGUCAUCUAUUUACAAACUAUUUACAAUUAGAUCCAUGGGUGCAAACCAAUUUAUCUGUGACUUUCCAAAUCUUGGAUUAGGCAGGUUUUCAUUGCUCAGUGAGUGAAAAAAAUAAGGGGGAGAGAGAGAUAGAGAGAGAGAGAUAGAGAGAGAGAGAGAGAGAGAGAGAGAGAGAGAGAGAGAGACAGAGAGACAGAGAGAGAGAGACAGAGAGAAAGAGAGAAAAGUUUAUAAAUGCUAG
rnacentral:lncRNA from 1 species